AAAAUAUGUUCUUGCUCUACAAACCAAGUCAGAUUUAAAUGUUUCCGUCUCCACUUGGGAUCAUUUUGAUGUUGCUUCCUUUGGGCUCUAUCUCUAUGGUCCAGUUUUGCUUUUAGGUUACAUGAGAAGAAAUUUUCUUUUAUAUCUCAGUCACACUAGAGUAAAAAGAGGACAGCGUCUAGGAAAUAAUUACAUGGAUUGACGGUUGAGGAUGCAUGAAAUUGUGAAAUUUCCCCCUUGUGGGACUAAUAAAGGUAUAUCAAUCAAUCAAUCAAUCAAUAGUCCACAACCUCUAGGGGACCAAUUUUGAUUGAAAUGCAGUAGCAAAGGUCACCAGCUGGUGGCUGACCUGACUCUAAACAGUCGCAGACUCAGACAGAGGGCAAAGGUUUGCAAAUAAGUACCACCUAACUUAUGGACACAGAUGGAUUCUCACCAGACUGCAGUAAGUCUGUCUCUUUCCAAUAGAGGACUCGACUCACAUGUUUGCCUAAGGGUUUUGUUCUGGGUUCCUAUAUAAAAGCAAGGCUGACUGGACUCUGCAUGUAAGUAGUUAAUGUAAAUAUUUUUGCUGCUUUGCUGCUUUGAAGAUGGCAACUAGCAGGAAGCGGUCACAGACCCGGUCCUCAUCUUCAAAGCAAUCAUUUUAAAAGCAGCGAGACUGCAAGAUUAUUGUAGACACUCACAAUACAUCUGUUUGUGGUUUGAAUUUUUUAUUUGUUUUUUUUUCUCUUCAGGGUUUUUGCAAGCAUUGAGGUGACGAGGCUUAAAGCCCAUGGGGUCAGUAGCCUGAAUGUUGUUAUGGUCUUGAAGAAGAACACCAAAUCAGAUUGUACAAAUGCAUCCUUGAAGAAUUUACAGAAUCAGUCAGAUCCAAACAUAACAUACACCUGCAAAGAUGUGGCUGAACAUCGGGUUGAGCAAUGCGGGUCCCAACCAGAGAUAGGGUGUGGAGCCUGCUGGUGAAGAUGUCUAAUUAUAUCAGACACAACACAAUACCACUGAGUAUUUUUGUACAUGUGAAAUAUAUUUGUCUAAUCAACAUUUCUAAUACUGCUGCUAUCUCCUGGUUGGCAGAAUAUGCAGUGUUUUAAAAAUAAAAUCUUA